CUUCUACCUGGGUUUCGACCAAGUGGAUGACCUUCAAGGUAGAUAUUUCUCCUCUCAUACGCAAAUUCUGUACAUUUUGAUUGGAAAUGCUUCUUCGCUUCUUCAUCUGAAUGAUGUGAAAUCUCACCAUAUGUUGAGUUUUCUACAUGCCAUCUCAUUUCUCCGGCUGUGCGUUAUGACUUAUACAGCCUCUUCAUCUUUUUCCACAACAACAAAUACCACAUCUGUUUGUAUGGCCCAUAAACUCGUUCGUUCGUAUCUUGUAAUGAGGUUUCCGAACAAAUUUACAUUUUUUUGGUUCUCAUCCGCUC
rnacentral:lncRNA from 1 species